UGUAAAAUUUGUAUUACAGGGCGAUGAAGAUUUUCCCAAUGGUCAUGUCAAUGAUUCUACCAAACCGUUUAUGAAUGGUCAUGCAAAUGGUUCAAAACCUUUCGUUAACGGUCAUCUUCAUAUAACUGAAAAUCCACAAUAUUCAGCAAUCGAACGUAAGAACCAGGUUGCGGAAAAAUCGAAAUAUACGCCCUUGAAGCACUUGCAGGAAGACUCAAAUUCAAAUAUCAACUCUUCGAAGUUCUAUGAUUUACAAAGGCUCUUCGAGAAUUCCAAAAAAUCCAAAUCUUCCAAUUAUCACCAAUGCAAUCCCCAUUUUGAUCAAAAUGGAUAUGAAUUGUGUAGUUCAUGCGAAGAUGUCAAUUCAUGUGAAUCCAGUUGGGAUAAUUCACUAGAUGCAACCCAGAUGACAUCAUUGAAUUAUUCAGAUAUUCCUAUCAUGGGCAAUAACCGAAGAAAAUCACUUAUUUCGGGUCCUAAUGGGUAAUUUCUAAACAGAAUGAGACGAAAUCUUUCAACAUUAAUUACUCCUGAUCAAACGUUUAUUUUUGUUUCAUUUUACUGACUCAUUUAACAUUUCUCCAAAGGAAAUAUUACAGCUUUACAAAAGUUGAUAAAUAGAAUGGAACUGACAUUUUUUUUUCAAUUUUCUGAAACCAAGACAAAGCCGUGAUAAGCAAUGAGAUAUUUUACUUUUGGUUUUGUAAAUAAUUAUUGCUCAAUAACAACAAUAUAUUCAUAAACAGAAGUUCAUAUCAACUUAGUUCUAGGAUUUGUUAAAAUUUCAUUGUUUUACUGUAAAAAAACUGAGUUGGUAUGAACUAAAUAUAAUUGUCUAUAGUUGAAAGUCUGGUACCUGAAAUUUACUUAGGUGUAGUUAGUUUUAAGAGAGCAUUCAAGUUAUUUUUAUCAUGUAGAGAUAAUUGGAAUAAUAGACUGAUUUCAUUUCGCAUAUAUUUCUUGAUAUGUAUUUUUAGUAGGUUGUUAAUUGGUACUACAAACAACCUCAUACCAUUUAACAAUCUGCAAAAUUCGCCACAUUUCAUUAGAUUUUCAUUUUGUAGCAAGAUACAUUUUUUUCUGAAACUCUUCAUAUUGAUGUUUCCCAGAUGUUACCACCAACUUUGGCAGUUGAGCACAGCUUUCUAGUGGACAUGACUUGUUUUCAAUUGUUGAUCUGAUUAGAAGAGUGAAAUGAAAUUUUCAGGAGUAAGUGCAAAUUUUUCGGGAAAAAUUCAUAUUGCUGGUAUUCAUAAUCUUAAUAAAAGUUGACAAGUCAUUUUUUAAUCUCAACAUUUUCUAAGACUGAGAAUAUUUUUGAAUAGUUUGUUUUAUGAACUGACUAGGUCUAUAGUUUGGCCUGUUUUCAUGAUCGAAUUCAUUAAUAUUUGGGUAAUUGUGAAUAUAUCACAAUUUGUUUUCAAAAUAGACUCAAUUACCAAUAGAAUCAGUCAAGUGAGGUGAAAUAGUAAAUUCAAAUUUAGAUGUUUGGGAGAAUUUUUCAUAUAUCAUUUUCAUAUAAUUCAUUUUUUCAGUCCAGUUUACUGUUUUUCUCAUAUCUCAAUUAAGGCAUAUAGACUGAAUAAUUUGUGCUUGCUGAAUUAAAGUGCAUAUAUUUGAACGAGAAUUGGAAACAACAAUAAACUACUUCUGUCCUCACAAAGGAUGUGCAAGUAAAAAUCUACAAAUGGUUUAUGCUAUAUUCUGAUGACUCUAUAUAUGGUUAACGUUUGUAUAAUAUGUAUGAAUGUGUGGUGAAUGGCAGUACAUUAUAAUAUGAAAAUUACAUGUAUAGUUGUUAAUUAUGAUGUUACAUGUUACGUAAGUAAUCGGAAAAACAAACAGUGUUGUAUAUUCUAUAAUACACGUUACCACGUAUAUUGUUCAAUUAAAAUAUUGACCCAAAGAAUAAUUCGUUAUUUAAAGAAAAAUGCAGAAUGUACAAAAAUUUUAUAAAAUGUUAUUUGUCAGAUUGAUGUGGUAUGUGCCUUUCAUAGUGUAUAAAACAACGAUUAUUUAUUUCUGAAAUCUAGAGUAGUUACCGUUUAUUCUGUUCAUUCAUUUAUGUAUUUUUUCUUUUAUAUUUGAACUUUAAUGCUCAAAUAAUAUUAAUGAUCUGAAAAUUGAAUAUGAAUCUCAUUACGUUCAUGUCAGCAUAAUACUUUUGUGAUUGAAUUUCAACUUUUGUUUCAAUUUAUUUAAAAAAUAACGUUGAAUAUUUAACAUCUUCAUUCGAAGAUUUUCAAAUACCUCAAAAUAACAUUCCUCUAUAACUUCGAGUAUUAAAUGGCCGCUUAUUGAACAGUUACCUUUUUAAUUCUGUCUUUUACCAACAUUCCAAUUCAUGUGUACAAAAUAAAAACAUUCAAAGCAAUAGUUUCUCAAGUCAUAAUUUACAUACUGUUGAAUCUUUUUUUAUUUUGUAAGUUAUUCUAAUAUAGAUGUAGACUAAGAAUUUAUUUUAUAAUGGUGUUCAAUGAAUAUCUCAUUACCAUGUUUUUAAUUGAAAAUAAUGCUUGCGAAAUGAUCGAAAAUCAAUUUCAUAAAUUUGAAAUGGAGGAGUAUAUUUUUUGUAGAAAUUACAACUUAGGGUAAUUUCAGUCCUGGGAGGUUUGAACAUAUAAACCAUUUUCCGUGAUUUUGGUUGAAAUUAUUCAAUUUCUACUUAAAACUUAUUUUCAUUUCAAUGAAACAGUGUUUUUUUUAUUUCUCUGGAGUAUAAAAGAUAUGUUAUAAUUUUGAGCAUAUACAAUGAAACUAACAAGUGUCUUAAUUUCAUUAGAAAUAUAUUCUUUCCAAAUUGUAUUAAUCAUAAUUAAGUCAGAUUCUUUUCAAUAAGUAGUUCUAUUUUUUCUAAAUUAUUGAUAAGGUAUAUUAAUUUUAUAAUUACUGCCCACUAUAGAAUUCUUCGAAACUUAGUUUUUUCACUUGUUCAAAUACUUAAAACUGUUUUGUCAGUUGUUUCAUCUACCUCAUUAUCGUAAUUUUUUUAUUUAAGUAUCGUCCUAAUAUUAUUAAUGUUAUCGUUGAUUUAUGUUAUGUCUCAGGGCAUCUUGAUUAGAUGGAUUGUAGCUAAUUUUUCUUUUGCACAAUAUUACUUUUUCAAUUCUGUGAAGUUUGGUAUCCAUCCGAUUACUGAUAUUUGAUUUGUUUGACCCAUAAGUCUGAUUUGUGAGGCUGCUAGUUGAUAUUUUGCGAGCCAACGGACUUUCAUGUUAUUGUUAAUAUGAAAACACCUAAAUUCUCUUUGCAACCCUCUAUAAUUAGUUACUAUUGACUCCUUCUUUUACUGUUCCAUUUUUUAAUUCACUCUCAUGAAAUAAUUUUUUGAAAUAGUUGGCUAAUAGGUUGAUAUUUUACCCAAUGACAUUUUAUACAGUUCGAUGCUACGAACAUAAAUAAUCUGAUGUAAUUCAACACAGACAAAUGCUAUGAUACAUAAUUUUUGCAAAACAAGUACCAUAUUAACAAAUUACACUAAAAUUCAAGAUGCCUGAAUGUAUAUAUUAUUGAAGGUUAUCCCUCUUAUCUACUAAUUUUUUAUUACAAUCAUAAUAGUAACUUCAGAUUUUAUUUUCUAAUUGUUAUUACUGAAGUUGAAAUGAGUAAUUUUAUUAUUAACCUGAAAUGGUGAGAAAAGAUAAUUUGACAGCUCUGAAUACUAGAUUUUUCAUGUUGAUUUCAGGUGCUAUGGUUUCCGAAAUUUUAUGAACUUUUUGCACAAAAAUGGAUAACUGGUUCUAGAAGGUUGCCUUUAUUUAUUGGUUAUAUUUAUUUUUUAGCUUUUCUAAUUUACAAUCUGUUUGGCAAACAUUAUACAAAGAUCUUUAAUAACUUGGCUGUGAGAUUGAGAAAUUAUUUAAUGCAACAUAUCUUACUUUUUCCUGUUUUUCAAGGAAUCAUGCAAUUUUAUAAUCAUAAUAUAAAUGAAUUUUUAUCAUUGACUUUAUUGAUUCACUGCAUCUCUUACUCAAACUUAUUUUAAAUAAUUUUGCUGAUUAUUUGAUUACUGCUUAUAUAACCCCUAUUUUUAUAAAAAUUAUUUAUCUUGCCUUUUCAGUUAUUUGACUAAAGUAUUUCACCCAGGGAAUUAAGAGAUCAAUUGGGGCAUUUGCUAAGAGAAUAUCUAGAAUAUAUUCUAUACAUCUUACUUCAUUUAAGUAUUUAUGAGUUGUUGAAGUAAGUGUUGAUAAGCAUAAAGCUGGCAAAAUGUUGGUCUCUCUUGGAACUAUUGUUAUUAUUUUUCAUUCCUAGGUUUACAUACCUAUCAAUAGAAAGUUUAUUUUAAUUACAAGUACUUUUCUGCGAUAAAAUUUAGAUAUAUCUAAGCAAUACUCUGAAGUAUCUUAUUUCUCUUCUCACUGCCAAAACCUAAAUAUAGUUUUGAACUUGUAGAUCUGUUAUGAAUAAAUAUUUGAAUAAAUUGUGUAAAUGUGUUAAUAUAUUUUUGUACGCUUGAAUGAUUGGGUAAUAAAACGUAUUUUAAAAAAUAAAUAUUGAUUAAAG
rnacentral:lncRNA from 1 species